GGGAGGGUGGGGGUUAUCAGGCGCUCUGAAUGAGGAGCGAGGAAUGCGGGCGGGCGGGCAGGGGGCUCAGAUGCAGGCCUGGUGUUGUUGGCCACGCAGCUUUUGUUCGCUGUGUAUCAGAAAAAAAGGUUGCUAGCACCGUUCAGUCGGCUCAUACAUUAAUACUCCAUUAGCUUUAAUUAGCUAACAUCGGCCAGCUGGGGUCCAAUCCCCAACCAACACAUAACCGUGGCCACUGCUAAUCAGUCUUUUUUGCACAAAACAGGUUUGGUCAUCUAUAACAAACAGGAGAGCUAUCGGUCGAGACAACUACGCUUACAGGGCUGUGAGGAACUAAAGUUGUUGCUGAUAUGUGACAGAUUAUCAAAGAAAUGUUCAAAUCAGAUUAAUCUGAGUAAAAACAAAGAUGAUUUCAUUUACAAUAGGCAAAGGCUAUCCAAAACAACCGGGCUCUGAGCAAAUAUAUAAUUGUCUCUGUUAAGUCACUGAUAAGCUGCAAUUCAACUUUUUUGCACAGCUGAGUUCAGUUUUAGCAGCCACAUUCCAGGCAUGAUUAGUGCCAGACCUGCAUGAAGCAAUCACCCAAAUAGAACCUGUCAUGAAGCGGGCUAAAAAAUCCCCAAUCUGAAACCAAUUAAAUCCACUGACCUCUUUUAGUCUAGAAAAGGUUACAGAGCCAUCUUUUAAGCUUUUGGCCUCCAGCGAACCACGGUGAAAUCCAUUAUCUGCAAAUGGGAAAAAAAAAACAUGGACCAACGAAGAACCCUUCCAGAAGUGGCCGUCCUACCAAAACUCAUCCAGAAGAAUAAAGAACAUUAUAUCGACAGUCAAACAUAGUGGUGGUAGUGUGAUGGCCUGGGUCUGCUUGGCUGCUUCGACCCUGCUGUACUUAAGGGAACAUCUGUAUCUGAACUGUUUUAAUUUGUCUCUUAUCUCCUUGUAACUGUUCAGCGCUUUGUACAAAAGCGAUUUAUAAAUAAAGCUAUUAUUUUGUUAUUAGCAAUCAAUCUGGCUCUCGACAGAAAAUUUUAACUGACCAAACUGAGUCAAAGCCAAGGCUUAAAUUUGAUUGAUUUGUCAUAGCCGGGCCUUAAAAAGGUGGCUUGUGAUGGAAAACCCUCUAAUAUGGCUGAAUUACAACAAUUCUGCAGAGAAGAGUGGGUCAAAGUUCCUCCACAGUGAUGUAGAUCAACUCAUUGCCAGUUUCAAUGAAUGCAGUAAACGCCAGACGGCCCAACCAGUUAUUCAGUAUAGGUGGUGAUUACUUUUUCACACAGGGUCAGGUUGGCUUAGGUAGCCUUUUUUCCCCUUAAUAAACCAUUUGAAAGUUGCGUUUUGGGUUUGCUCAGCUUAUUUUUUGUCUGAUUAAAAAAAAAAACAUUUAAGGAUUUUAAACAUGUGAGUUUGAUAAAAAAAAAAGGAGAGGAAAACUGUAAGGGGGACAUUACAAUACACAUGUAAUUGAGGCUGAGAUUACAUACGCAAACAGAAAAAGACGAAGCCAAAGUCUCCUCAACACUUAGCUGGAGCCCAGAGUCCCCACUUAUGAUCCUGGCAGCUGGGCCCCAAGCUUCAAGUGCUGAUUGCACCCUGGAUCGCCUUCCAACCCUUACAGAGCAACACUAUAAAUACACAGACUGCGGGGUUUUGUUCUCUGCCGUUUGGCGACGCACUGUCCGCUGAAACCUCCGGCGUGCAGUUUCGCAACAUGUUUAUUGUGAAAACACUCGGACGAAGGCGACGGCCACUCCAGCUCUCAGGAAACCGGGCUUUCUAAAUGCGGGGCCACGCUUUAAGUCCGACUGAGUUUUUACACAAUGCAAAGGAAAAUAGUGUACCGUGUGGUUGCGUGGUUGCGUGUGUGCAGACAUGCUUUAUGAAUGUGAGAUAAAGACCGAGCGUUUGGGACUGUCCAGGACCGAUGUGAUUGCGGCCCUGUGGGUUGCAUUUUAAAGGCUUAUGCAGAGUCUUAAAACUGCCACAAGCAUUUCACAUUCCUUAUCCACGGUUCUGUGAACUAUAGAGCAUUACGUCCUGCGCACAACAGGGACUGUACAUUUCCGUACUGGCCCCCGAAGCACUGACCUUAUAUCUCUCACCUCCGCUCCCUCGAGAUUUAACCUGUACCCCUCCAGGUGUUUAAGUCGGAGCAAACGUUUCCCAGAAUUUUUCAAAUUCUUCAUCGGCCCAGAGACUCUUGGUGGGAUAUCUAGGGGAGUGAGUGGGCCAGGGGGCACAGGAUGCGUGUGUCGUGGAGCUCAGGAAAGGGUGGGAAACGGAAAGGUAGUGUAGGUCGGAGGAAGGUGUGGUUGUGAAAUGAGAUCCUGUCCCUUUUUUUUCCCUCCCUCCUCUCACAGUCCAGCAUCCCCUUCCCCUCCCUUUCCAGCCCUUCCGUCACUCCUUCCUUAUUUUAGUUGUUCUUGACAGAAGAACAACUCGCAUUUAAGCUUUCCUUUUCUUGUUUCACAAGCUCUAGAAAAGAAGUCCCAUUUAAAGUGAAGGAUUGUGUGGCACUUCCUAGAAACCCGGCUUUCAGAGAGCAGCAGAUAACUACUAUUUACCAAGUGUCUGCAUGGAAAACUGUAAUCAAACAGAAAGCGGGAGGUCCUCGCUGCAUAAACCCAAAUAUAGGCUCCCAUCCAAAGCUCCUGACCUUAAUCUAAGGGCAAAUAUGCUUAGAGCUGCAUGAGGCCGCGGGGACCAAAAGCAACGUUUUCUUGCUUAUGCUGUCAAUUCACAGGAGCAUGUUUAGCUGGGGAAAGGGAAUGUCCUGUCAGGUCUGAAGUAACAUAAUAUGAUAUUUUGUCAGAUCUGAUCACUUCCCACAAAUGACGGAUGACCGAACCCCCUCAUGUUUCCUGUGGUAAAAGUUAUAGUAGUAAUGCUGGCAUGUCCUGUGCCUGAUUAACAGAUAAAGGUCUCUUGCAGAAAACCGACUCGUAAAAAGGUAAAUGGUUUGUGGUACACAGACAGUUAUAUCUUUGGUGGCGUUACAACCCGAAAACGUCCAAAAAACUGUAUUUCACUGGGAUAUUCUGUGUUGGACCAACAGCGAGUGGUGCAUAACGGAGAAAUGGGAGAAAAGAGGAACAAUGUUUUAUGGCUUCUUUACAUGAUGCCGUUGGUUCCCUGAUGUUCUCUGACAGAUCCCCGAGGCCUGAAUCAGCGGAAUUCAAAUUUACACACGCGUAUCUUCUGAAGGGAGUUGAUUGUGCUGGUUUACAUUUCGGGGGUAUCAGAGUUAAUGAGGCCACACCUUUCCAGUUUUUAUUUGGAAAACCUUUCUUCCGCUCCACAAUUAUGCCCUACUACAUGUUGGUUGUUCACACGAAAGCCAUAAAACCAAUUUCCAUUGUAGUUUGUGGUUCUAAGAGGGGGCAACAUGUGGUAAAGUUCAAGAGGUGCUUCUCCAGGCGCGAUUACGUUGCUGUGUGUACCUUUAAACACCGACCUGUGGGGGACAGUGUGUGGUGUCCGUCCCGUGGCUGCAGGCCAAGGUGAGAUAAGGACGCCUUAAGAAGGUGACGACCGUCCUCUGGCAGAGCAGAAUCACUGUAUUAUGUAAGAAGAUAAAGAUCAGCAGAUGUUUGUGGCAACAGCGGCUACCACCUCCCCAAGAAUGCACGGUAUGCAAAAAAGGGGCAUUUGUGCCUGAAUGUGUGUCUGUGUGUGAUGUGAUGGAGAGCAGACGGGCUAAUAACGGGAGACGCGUCUCUGUAGCGUGUUCGGCCCGUCGCUGGGACAUGUGGCUGGCUGCUGCACGAGUUAAAACACCAACCCUCCCUCCCCCUGGGGUAGUGUCUGCACAGGGGUGUGAUUAAAGGCGCAUGGGUGUGAGUGAGUGUGUGUGUGUUUUAGUGGCUCGUGAUGUAGAUUUAGAGGCUAGGAGCUGUCAUUAAAUGGACAGUAGGGGCCUGCGGGUGGAAGCGUCCUGUGGGAAGCAUAUGAAAGUCAUAUGCGGUCCGAUCUGUUGUGUGUUUGCGUUCGUCCCCGGGUCCCCCGUGGUUCCCGUGGACCAGCCGAAGGCAUCAGCCUUGAUUCUUUACAGGGGCCAGACACAUUCGUCUCUUUCAACCCACUGUCCCGGCAAACAGUCGCACGGCACAAUAAAGCGAAGACAAGGGCCUGUCGCUUGCACUUCUCCAACGGGGGGAGCAGUAAAGCCUCAGUUCCUCCUGAAUCUUUCCACGCUGUCGCCUGUGAUUAUAUCCCUCCAGUGUAAACACCUACAGACCGCUUAUUUAGAGCCUUUUGGAUUACUGGGAAGGACCCCUGCUGUAAACCUUUGUCGGCACUGACCCGUGCAUGUGUUGUGAGCUUGUGUUGAAGUUUCCAGAAAGUAACCUAAAUGUAUAUCUUAUGGCGUUUUCUGUGUGGGCAGUAAGGUAAAUCGUGAGGGUUCUAGAUGUUCACAACUAGAAAAGUAAGUCUUUCAGACUUCUGUUUUUCUGCUCUGUAUCUCCAUAUUGUUGGCGUCAUGGAGCGAGUUUUGGGGCGGAGACAAAGAUGCUCUGAAGCCUUCAUUGUCAGUCAGAGCCGAGGCAGCAGACGACGUGAAGCCGUAGGCCUCAUUACUUCUCUCCGUGUCCGCAAGUGGGGCCUCCCUGCUGCUACACAGGCCCCCUCUGUCUGUCGCUUUCUCUUACAGCGUUACUAUCCUCUGUAUUUUGUGUGCAUCCACAUAUUGAGGAGAGAGAAAGUUUGGGAGGGGGGGGGGUUUCACUGUUUCGCUGAGAACAAUGGCCCUUUUGAUUCAUCUCAGCGCUCUUUGUUUUGUUAAUGAGGACCAGUAGGCCGGUGGCAGACAGACGGAGGAUGAGAUGGAGGGGGGGGGGGGGGGGGGGAGUGAAUGGGAUAAGGAUGAGAGGGCAUAAGUAACUCCUCGCUGAGUGCUCGAGGCCACUUGAUUACGUACCACUGGCUCAUUGCUGUUGCCGCUUCUUGCCGUAUUGUCUAGUAGCGGCUCUUAUCUUCUCAGCGCCGUGUGGCAAUCGGGUCAGCAUCUUUAUUGGCGCUGGCCUUAUCUGAGUUGGAGCUACUGAGCCUUAUCCUGUUUGCAUACAGUGAAGAGCGGAGGCCGCCGUGAAACUCAGCAAAGCGUUCACACUGUAGCACCGAUUCUUACACUCGUUCUCUUCGGCUAAAGGCGGCCCGUGAUACAGAGGCUUGCAGAAGUGUUCCUUAGCGACACAAAAGCAUUUAUCACAUUUGGUCGUGACACGGGCACAAAACAAAGUUACACAAAAGUUUAAAGGGGAAGAAAUAUGUCACCUGGAUUCGAAAUGUUUACGUGGAUCGUUGCAGCGUCAGUGUUGCUUUUUGUUUAGGGAUGUACUGCGGCUGGAAUGUGAGCCUCCGCCCAAGUCUUUUGCAGCCUAUCAGGUUUCAGCAUUGCCCUAUCUUUAGCUUCAUCCAUCUCCCCCUCGGAUUGCACCAGCUCUAUCCCCUGCUGAAGAAGAGCAUCCUCCCUAUGUGAUGCUGCCACCACCACAUAUCACGGUGGGCAUGAAAGUUUAAUGGGACUGCGGUAUUAGUUCUCUUUGCACGCAGGUCUAAAAAUUUUACUUUUGUCCCAUUUGACCAUAUGAGUGCAGGACUAAUUGUCCUGUGUUCAGAUCAUCCCAUCUGAGCUUCAGGUGCAACUUCUCCGGAGUCACCAUGGGUUCAUGCUGAUUCAUGCUCUCCUUUCCGUGGCCUUUCUGUUUGGGUCAGGGUUCAGCAACCAGCAGCUCUGGAGCAGCAGGUGGCUCUUUAAACCCUCCACAAUGGCUCUUCAUAACAAACUAAAACAUGUUUUCAGAUGUAAAAAUGAAAAAUUAAGAAAUUAAAUUCGUCCUCAUUUUAGAAAGUAAUAAUAUAAUUAGAUAUUGUGGUUACAUAUAUCCAAUAGUAAAUAUUUAAAAAAAGAAAUAUUGUGACUCAGCACUAAAGAAGGUGGGUCAUGUACAGAGGCUGAAAGUCUUGAGCUGUUCUGGGUUAAAUUACCGACCCGGGCCAUUCACUUCUUCCUCUUUCAGUCAAGCUACUGAUUAAGUAUUUUUACCUGUUUCUAUUAUCAGAUAAUGGACUAAACAGUGCACUGUGAAAAGCUAACCUUGUUGCUGCUCCCCAACCUCCUGCCUGACCUGUUUGCUUGGUUCUUUGGUCUCCACAAUGCUGUCUGUUCAUUAAUGUUCUCUAACAAACCUCCCAGGCCUUCGCAGAACAGCUGGAAAUUCAGUGAGAUUAAAUUACUCAGUUUUUAUUCCUUUCUAAACAGGUGCCUUCUGAAGGGAGCAGGAUAUUAUUCAGGGGUAUCAGAAUUAAGGAGAGUGAAUAUAAAUCCCAUCCCAUGCUUUAUAGACUUUUGUUGCAAAGAUAUUUGCAAACAAUGGAUCAUUUCCCUUCCACUUCCCAAUUAUGCACUAGUUUGAAUCGGUUUAUCACGUGAAAAUCCAAUAAAAUACGCUGCAGUUUGUGGUUGCAACGGGAAGAAAAUCCAGUAGUAUGAAUACUUUUACUGGACUCUGUGUAUUUGUAAAGCUGCGACACUAGGACCAAGUUUUGCACCUCUUCAGUUUAAACAAGAGGCAUCAGAUUUCAAAGAGUGGGAAUCCUUCCUCUCCGCAGCCAAUCUAUUGUGUGAGAAGGUAAUAAUAGCAUUAUGGCAAUACCAGAGAAUUGCCUUGCCAGCCCACUGGCCCCCCGUUAGCCCCCCGGGCCCUGCUCGGGUUACACUUCAUUGGAGCAGCUGCACAUUCGCGCUGCACCUUAAAACGUUAGAGCUGUAACUGAGCUUCCUUAAACACAUUAUUACCCUCUCUUUCCACACAUGCAGGGAAAUGCGGACGAGAGAAAGAAACAGUGCUGAACGAGGCAGCCCCUCAUUAUGAGCCCCCUAGCUAGCUGCAACAGAGGGGCCCGGAAGCAGCACUCAGAGGCUGCCUGCGCAGGUGCCUGCUGGUAGGAGUCCCCCUCGAGAGUGUCCCGACCGAUGCCUGUGUGUUAAAGGCAUUCAUUCCUGUGAAUAAAAUCUCUCUGAGUAAGCACAUGUUUCAGCCGGCGGCCCCCCGUUCGCCGCGGCAUUCACACACUGACGGGGGAAAAGGACAGGGAUUCACUGUGUACUCGACUCUGCUGACCUCAGCCACUCCUGUGUGUCACCGUGUGUGUGUGUAUGUGUGUGUGUGUGAGCAGCAAGUGGAAACAACAAAGUGAAAUCCUGAGCCAAACAUCUGUAUCGGCGUGUCAUUGUGCCUGCUUGAGCUCGUUCAUAAUGAGUUUACCUUUUUUCUAAACAGCGAUUAUGUAAAAACGCAUGGAGCACGGGUGGUUUUUAUGGAGCCCAGAUUGUUUAUUUGGAUUGCAAGGACGUUGUUAAAGUCCUUGUGGUCGACAACUUGAAACUGCUCGAGAGAGGCUUUGCCGACGUUGCCAGUGGAACCACAGUAAUUUACUUUAACAGCCACACACCCAGCGCCACUCUCCCACAGAUAAAGCGCCAUAGGCAGUGUCACUGUGACAUUUGUGGCCCUUGCCUGCCGCGCCACAGUGCCCUGGCAACGUUGCAGCGCUCUCUGCUGACCCAUAGCUCUGUAGUUAUCUCCCGAGUGGUUUGUCAUGAACCUCGAUCAAAUUAGGCACCCUAUUCCCUGAAAGCCUCUCGUGUUCCAGCCUUCACUGUAGCAAGACUACAUCCACCAACAAGUGCUCUUGGAAGCUAGCCACCGCUUAUCUUAUCCUUAUCAGAAACCCUCGAUCUCAUUGUUUGCACACAGCGCUAAUCACAGCCAGGCAAACAUGCUCCACUGGCAGAUACACAUUGCUGCUGCACUGUGGUUCGCAGCUCGUAGAAGGAAUCAAACAUUUCCUUACUCAAAAGGUCCGUACAGCGUUAUUCUUCUAGUCUCUCUCUCUCUCUCUCUCUCUCUCUCUCUCUCUCUCUCUCACAUCCCAUUAUGCACAGAGGUGUCACACAGAUCAUAUUACCACAACAUAAUAUCCACCCAUUCUGCUGCUUAGCAACAUACACCACUUCAGAAAGUUAUAGAGUGCAGAUUUUGUUGGAGAGAGUGUGCGAUUUCAUCCAUAUCCGAGUGUUAAAAAAAACAUGACAGUGGUUUCCUCAAGACUCUUGGAGCAAAGAUAAAUAAGGAAACGUAUCAGAUCUCCAUUAGGGGUGGGUUGAGAUCUUGCCACUAUGAAAUGGCACAACAUGCCAACAAGUACUGUCCGCCUGUAGAAAUUGCAGUCUUUAUUUUGAAAUAAGAAAGGAAGUAGUGCUUGAGUUGUCCCAAAUGACAUGGAGCCCUGUCAAACCAAACAACAAUAAUAA